AGAGUUUGAUCAUGGCUCAGAAUCAACGCUGGCGGCGUGCCUAAUACAUGCAAGUCGAACGCGAAAAUCCCGCAAGGGAUCAGUAGAGUGGCAAACGGGUGAGUAACACGUGGGUGACCUGCCUUCGAGUGGGGGAUAACGUUCCGAAAGGGACGCUAAUACCGCAUGAUCAUCCUGCCUUUGAACAGGUGGAGAUUAAAGCCGGGGAUCGCAAGACCUGGCGCUUGAAGAGGGGCCCGCGUCCGAUUAGCUAGUUGGUGGGGUAACGGCUCACCAAGGCAACGAUCGGUAGCCGGCCUGAGAGGGCGGACGGCCACACUGGGACUGAGACACGGCCCAGACUCCUACGGGAGGCAGCAGUAGGGAAUUGUUCGCAAUGGGCGCAAGCCUGACGACGCAACGCCGCGUGGAGGAUGAAGACCUUCGGGUCGUAAACUCCUUUCGAUCGAGACGAAUGGCCCUUGGGCUAAUCACCAGGGGAAUGACGGCACCGAGAGAAGAAGCCCCGGCUAACUCCGUGCCAGCAGCCGCGGUA
rnacentral:rRNA from 1 species